GCGCGGGGGUGGUGGCUUGAGCAUGGCGGGCUGCAGGUCCCGAGCCCUGCCCCACAGGUAGGCGGCGGAGGCCCCGCGAGAAUUCCAGCGUAUUGUGGGCGGGCCCGCACUGCGGGAGAGACCCGGCGCACUCUCCGCAGCUGCUGGCCCGAGUGCUGAGCCCCUCACUGCUGGGGCCGGCGGCGCUGCCGGCCGCUCGGAGUGCGGGCCUGCUGAGCCCGCGCCCACCCAGAACUCGCUGGCCCGCGAGUGCAGCGCGCAGCCCCUGCUCCCGCCCGCGCGUCUCCCUCCACAUCUCCGGGCAAGCAAAGGGAGCCGGCUCCAGCCUCGGCCAGCCCAGAGAGUGCCUCCCACAGUGCAGAGGCGGGCUGAAGGGCUGGCUUCUCAAGCGUGGCCAGAGUGGACGCCGAGGCCGAGGAGGCACCCACAGUGAGCAAGGGCUGACAGCACGUUGUCACCUCAGUACCACAGAAAUUGAAAACAGACAGGAGACUACUGUAUAUCAGUUCAAGAAUCAUGUUACAUGCCCAGACCUAAAUCUAUCAUUGAUCAAGGAAAUGACCCCACCCUGAUUGACUUAGAGAAAAUCUAAUUUACCAGCUGGAACUGGGGCUGGAGCUAGAACUGUCUCUUCUGAACACUUUGAACCAAUCGUACUUCAAACAAGAAAGAAGGU
rnacentral:lncRNA from 1 species